CUACACACUUGGCAGGACUUUGCCCUAAAGGUCAUUUUCAAAAUAAAAAAAUAUAUAUAUAUGCCACUUCCCUUUUCCCACAUUAACCCUGAGAGACAAAGAGGAAGCGGGAAGCCAGCACAUGGAAGCAAUUUAUUGCAGACGUUCCUGGGUUGGGAGAGGAGCCUUCUGACUGCUGCAGAGACCUGUACCGGAGGUGCGGAGAACUGCUGCGGGGCUCGGCGCGUACCGGGCUCCGGGGUGUUCACGGGCGGCGGUGCCUCUGCUGCGCGCAGGACUGGAGUCGCCGGAGGGCAGGUGGUGGAUUCCCUCCCCGCAUCCCUCCUCUCAGUCCAAAGUCAAAUUGCUCUUUUCUCCGCCCACGCGGGCGUGGCGGCUGAUAUCCGGCCGCAGGGCGUCCCCGCGCCCCCGGGGGCCCCGCCCUGCCGCUAUCUCCGCGGCCCGCCCCGCGGCGCCUCCCUGCAGAGCUGCUCCCCCGCCCAAACCGCCGCGGCGCGACGCCGAGCCAGCCCCGCGAAGCUGCACCCACCCCUGAGGACCAGCCCCUGGAAGGCAGGGCCAGCACCUCCCCGGGCUGCUGCAGCCGUGAGCCACCCGUUUUGUGAAACACACACUCUGCCGUUUCAGGCCGCACUUGCCCGUUGCCAUGGGCGUUUUCUGUGUUGACACAAGCAGGGACACGGAAUCCCUUGACUUUGAGUUGCAGAUCGUGGAUGUUGGCGUCUCCGCUGCGUUACCAGGAAGGAUGGAAGGGGCUUCAGCCUCCAUCCUCACUUUCCUUCUCAAGGAGUUGGCUGAGCACCCGGAGUUUUCUCUUUGGCUUGUCUCAGGUUCCCUUUCCCUGAGAGGUGAAAAGUUUUUCAGAAAGAUGAGCGCUUUCUCUUUAUUCCCAGGGACCACUUCACACACUCCUUUUUCACCUCCAGAGUAGAUGGAACCGUGGAACCAUGGAACCCUGCCCUCUGGUUGUGUCUGUCAUCUCCUACUGGGACCAGAGCCACAAAAGACCUAACUCUGUCCAGCGUGCAGGCAUCCCAACUAGAGGAAGCAAGGAGGCAGAGACCAAAAGGACAUCAAGAGGCGUUUGAACCCGCAGAGAGGGCCUGGAACACAAUGCUGAGCGUGGGCCCAACCACUGCUUCUCAGUGGGGUGGGAGAGUGGCGUGGGGAGAGUUGUGGGCAUUUAGGGCAGGACAGUGCCCCGCCUCCGGCUUGGGACGGGGCUGCAUUGCAUCAUUACUGUAACCACUAGCCGCCCCCGCCCUCACAACCCCUAUGUAUGAAAUGCAAGUAGCACCUCCCCAUCUUUGUGACAACCCAAAAUGCCACCUCCUAUGCCCAAGCACUCUCUAAUGAGGUGUUUCCUUAGGUUGAAAACCACUGUUAGAUCAUUUCCUAAAAUACAUCUCAAAAGACAUCAAUUAGUUCCUUAAGAUAUAAGUAGGUGUUAUAUGAAAAGAGUAGCAUGCUAAUAUCACUAUCGUGCUGAGUUUGGGAAAUGGUGGGUUAAAAAGUGGAGCAGGAUUUCCUUACAGGACUUCUCAGAACCUUUAAUAUGUAUAAAUAUAUGUUUUGAAUCAUCAAGAGAGAGAUGGACUAUGCAGAUCCCCAAAUUUAAUUGGCCCCGGAAUUCUUUCUUUGUAGGACCCCUUUUGGGUGCAACCUACCUUAGAUACCUCUGAACUACAUUCUGUCGUCCAGGGCACUCUCUGGGGACUUCUGUGUCCUCCCCAGUGUGAAGUGCAGGAGUGAGCAGUCAAAAGGCCCUUAUGGUUUUACUGAAUUGAAACACCUAGAAUGUGUGAAGAUACCAGGACGGAGUCCAGAGCUUCAGGAAACCGCUGCAAAGAUGACCUCACAAAGAAAUCAUUGUGGCAGGGCCCCUGGCGCACUCAAGGUGAUGUGACGUGUCCUGCUCCUGAGAGCACGCAGCCCUGCUGGCGCCUUGGGCUUGCAUGGCUCAGGGAAAGGAAAAUAGCCCAGGUAUUUGGAAGAGAAGUAUGUGUGGAUGGAAUUACUCAAAUGCUGAUGGAUGAAUUGGGUCUCCUCUCCUGCUGGCCUGGCAGCCUCUGUGUGGAAGGCUUUGCCCAGGAGAUGGGUCACAGCAGCUCUGGUGAGAUGCUGGAAACAUAAGCCCAGGCAGAUACAAUGGCAGUGAGUCACAGUAAACCAACAACCAUCAGGUGCUCAGGAGGGAAGCUGAAACCAGGGGACUCGCUGUGCUGAGCUAAGCGAGGAGCAGGACUCUCCUGUUGUGCAAAACACAAAGAGCAGAGUGUUCAAGUCCAAGGAUCAGAUUCCUCCAAAUGGAAGCCCAAGCUGUGCACACUGAGCUCCACGGCCGACGAUACAAUCACCCGCCCCUGCCCAUGCAGGAGGGUACCACCCAAACAUACCCCUUUCUCCUGGGGCAUGGGCAGGGGCCAGGGGAGACAGGGCCCUACCACUUCCUGUGUAAAACUGAGUGAGCAGCCCAGCGC